GGGGGUGUACUGGUUUCGACGGGGGAUGGCAAGACCGCAACUUGCGUGCCGAGUUUGACGUGGACUCGCAAAACACGUCAAAACAAUAACUGCUAAAAACAAUAAUUUAGCUUUCGCAGCUUAACACCUGUGAACUCUCCACCUGCUGUGUCUGAGGUGCGGGACCGGAGAGCCAAAUAUCAGACUACCUGACGGUCAUUGACAGAUAGCCGCCGGGGAAACAAAUCUGUCUCGCCUCUAAACAAACCUGAUGACAGGUGUGUGCGAGGUUAAACCUUAAAUAUGUCAUCUACGCACGUAGAGGGUUUCGGGAUUGAUCUUCCGGACAGGGGUUCGACUCCCCUCACCUCCAUAA
rnacentral:tmRNA from 1 species